GACGAACGCUGGCGGCGUGCCUAAUACAUGCAAUUUGAGCGAUGAAGAUUGGUGCUUGCACCCAUUUGAAGAGCAGCGAACGGGUGAUUACCGCUUGGGGACUCUGCUUUUGAGCGGGGGACAACAUUUGGAACCGAAUGCUAUUACCGCAUAACAACUUUAAACAUAAGUUUUAAGUUUGAAAGAUGCCAUUGCAUCACUCAAAGAUGAUCCCGCGUUGUAUUAGCUAGUUGGUGAGGUAAAGGCUCACCAAGGCGAUGAUACAUAGCCGACCUGAGAGGGGGAUCGGCCAAAAUGGGACUGAGAAACGGCCCAAACUCCUACGGGAGGCAGCAGUAGGGAAUCUUCGGCAAUGGAGGAAAGUCUGACCGAGGAACGCCGCGUGAGUGAAGAAGGGUUUCGGAUCGUAAAACUCUGUUGGUAGAGAAGAACGUUGGUGGGAGGGGAAAGCGCAUAAAGUGACGGUAACUACCCAGAAAGGGACGGCUAACUACGUG
rnacentral:rRNA from 1 species